CAGAGUUCUCAUCUCGACUUCUCCGACUAAAAUCCAACUCCUAGUCUCCACCAUUGACGCUUGAAACUAGCCUCAGAUUGCACGAUUGUAGCAACACAAACUUUCUUCUUUUCCUUUCUCAAUGCCCGAUAUCAGUCCUCCCCGAACCUCAUCAUCUCCUUACUCCUCCUCACUGCUGCCGUUUGGGUUCAACGAUGACGUGGUCACUGGAGUUCAUCACCGGUGAAGACCCCGAUGAUGGUCCCCAAAUCGCUGUAUAAGUUUUGGUUGCACCGACUUUGCAAGACGAUUUUCGCUAAUGCUGGUGGACUGGUUGCUGCAUAAUUUAUUGGAUGUGGGGUAGGAAAACUAUGUUUAUUUGUGGAAUGCUUGUAGUAGUAAGGUGACCUCUUAGCUUUACGAAAUCAAUGUAUAGAAAGUGUGAAUGUAAUGUGCAUUUUCUCAUAACACAAAGCUUUGCUCUUGCUAUUUUGGAGAAUGUUCAUUUUGUUGUACUUUAUAGUAUUAUAGAAGGAAUGAAAUCCAUGUAUGUUGUAUAUUGUAUUA